rnacentral:rRNA from 1 species
CCUACGGGUGGCAGCAGUGAGGAAUAUUGGUCAAUGGGCGGAAGCCUGAACCAGCCAAGUAGCGUGCGGGAUGAAGGCCCUCCGGGUCGUAAACCGCUUUUGCACGGGGAUAACACCCUCCCAUUGUGGAGGUCUGCAGGUACCGUGCGACUAAGGGCCGGCUAAUUCCGGUCCAGCAGCCGCGGUAAUACGGAGGGCACGAGCGUUAUCCGGAUUCAUUGGGCUUAAAGGGAGCGUAGGCGGGCGUUCAAGUCAGCUGCAAAAUCGCGCGGCUCAACCGCGCCCCGCAGUUGAAACUGGACGCCUUGAGUUCACGACAGGCAGGCGGAAUUCGUGGUGUAGCGGUGAAAUGCAUAGAUAUCACGAGGAACCCCGAUUGCGAAGGCAGCCGGCCGGGGUGCGACUGACGCUGAGGCUCGAAGGUGCGGGUAUCAAACAGGAUUAGAUACCCGUGUAGUC